rnacentral:lncRNA from 1 species
CCCUUGUAACACCUCUAUUAUAAGACAAGCUAAGCAAUAACUCUACUGUCCACCAUACCAACUAACUCUAGCUGAUAUAGACUUCAACAAUAACAUUACAAGACUGAAAUAUACAUGACAACAUAGAUCAAUAAAUGAUGUGAAAAACUUUUCAAACAAACUUCAGAACUAGAAUGAUGUUGGGAUCAUCCAGACAAUUUUAGCUUGCAAUUCAAAUAAUAACAACUCCUUAGCUUUCAUCUCUUCAACCUGCAUGUACAAGAGGCGAACAUAAGUUACUAAAAAAAAUAUUAUAUUAUGUGGUAACUGGUAAGACAGAGUUAAGUUAAAGAUGAGUUGAACUGACUUACCAUCUCAGCUUUAGUAGUCCUACAAUAUAAGAACUUGGAGACGAUCACAUCCAGAGG